GCCCCGGUAGUGUAACUGGUUAGCACACGCCCCCAAAAAAGGGUGAAAUGUGGGUUUGAUCCCUGCGUGUGGUU